GGAGAAUUAGCUCAGCUGGUUCAGAGCAUCUGCCUUACAAGCAGAGGGUCACUGGUUCGAAUCCAGUAUUCUCCACCA
rnacentral:tRNA from 31 species